CGUAUUGCACAGAAGGCCAAAACUGAUUGGUACUAGUUAUAAAACUUUAAGAAUUCCGGAGCUCCGACAGUUCUAGAAUAGUUUCGUUUACUCAGAUUGGAAUUUUAAGUUUCCCAGAUUGUGGACCUAUCAUCACAAGUCAAGCCGUUGAGACGAUCGUGGGACGUUUCUGGAGCAUCCGUGUUUGCAGCUGUUUAUUCAUCGCAAUAGACGAGAUAUUUUUUGGGCUGCUCAUCCAUUCGUGCUGUGCCUAGUCAGAACAUGUUUCCGGCUUCAAGCAUGGAGCAUUUCAGUGCUCAUCCGCCCCCAGAUCCCAAAUAUUCGGCCAGGUUCCGCCGACGAUACACCGGAGCCAACUACCAUCAGCCGGACCCCGGUACACAAGGCCUGGAAGUUCUUACUGCGACGGGAGAAAGCGUGAUUUCAUUAGAAGGCGGUCACUACCUGACGCGUGGAGAACGGUUCGCACGGCGUAUUGGCCAAUAUUACGCGCGAGGAGAUUUCGGGCAGAGGAAAACGUUGGCCACGUCCACGCAGACGUGGAAAUUACCACCUGUUCCAGCUGCAAAGAUUCCGCAAGCAGUGUCAUUCUAUGUCAACGUUGCUGGACUCCACGUCGCUGUUAAGAAGUACUUGUACAUUCCUGCAGAUCUUGUGCGACGGUUUCCAUCUAUUGGGAGCUCCCAGGAAAUCGUAGGACGCGGGGUUGAGAAACGUAUUUAUCUGAGUCAUUACCAGAUAAUUCGUCUGUUGAAAGCUAUUUCAAAGGGUGAACCUACCGACGACCAUCGCUUUGCCUGCGGCGUUUACUCCCAAUGGAUGUAUUCCAAGUGGAACGCAGACCAGGCUGUUGUGUUUAUUGAGCUUAUUUUCGACGCGGGAGCUCCCGAUGCGCUCAUCUUAGACUUGUGUCGACCUUGCGGCGUAGCGUUGAACGGGAUUCCUGACGUACGCACAAUGCAGCAGUGGAUGAAUGCUUUUCUCACAGCAGCAUUCUAUAGAGGUCGUCUUGAACUGGCAAAGCAGUUAGCUAUACGCAUGGAUUUGUAUGGAAUGGCUGUAAAUAUCCAGAAAAAACUGGACGAACGUCGUGACUAUCAUUUCUGGGAUUACGACGCAGCAGCUACUUUUGUCCGACGGGAGAUGCGGGACGACAUGAAGAUGCAGUUGAAAAUGCGGGAGAAAUCAGACACACCGCUCACUAACCAUCCGUGUGCUUACGCAUCAAACCGGUGCAGGGUUACGGGCAGUGUUCCAUUUAUAAAUCGUCAUAUCAGUAUUUGCGCUCGUAAACUGCCGGAAGUCAACUGCAUCCCGUGCCGCGAUUGUGGAUUGCUGUUACCGCCCGGAGCUCCGGAUGCACUCCACAAUCUGCGGCACUCAGCGAAUUGCGAGCGGCGUACCGUUGUCUGGACCGAUGAUCUUCUGCAUACGGAUGUUUUUGAGAAGCCACCGUUCCUCCCGCUGGGCCGCUGGGGCAGCUGUAUCUGGUGCCGGCUGAUAAUGUUGACCGACUGGUUUGUCAGGUGUUCGAGCAUUUGGCUGAUUCCGGGCGUAGUUUCAUGCUUCGCUUGAGCGAAGUGCGCCGAUACUGAAAAACUGAAAAGAGGAGCUCCUGUUUUUGGUGUAAAGUUAGGGCCAUAUUUCUUGAAGUGCUGCAGACAUGCGCAAUUCUAAUCGGAUGCGUUUCGAUUGCUGCAAUAUGUGACUUGUUGUAAGAAUUGUAACCUUAGUGUCUCUCAUGUUCAGUAGUGGCUUUUAAAUUUUAACUGUGCUUCUACCUAAUUAUCGCGGCUGUUAGCUUUUGUGGAAGUUGGUGGGUAUGCCGGUUCGCGGGAAGGAUACAUGAAUUCAGUGCCAAAUACUACACGGUUAAAUCUGACCAAAUGUGGUCAUCCGGAGCCUGAUUCCUUCGUCAUGCUGCGCGAUAUUCGCGACCCUGGGAUGCCGUGGUUGGGGUUUGUUAUCGGCCAGACGCUUUCCUCAAUAUGGUACUGGGCUGCUGACCAGAUGAUGGUGCAGCGUGUGCUAUCCUCGAAAAUUAUAUCGGAUGCCCAAGGUGGCUGUAUUCUUGCUGGAAAUAUUUGAGAUUGCUGCCAUUGUUUAUUGUGGUCAUGCCCGGUAUGAUUAGCCGUGUGUUGUGGCCGGACGAAG